rnacentral:guide_RNA from 1 species
UUUCUUUGAGUAUAUGAAUGUGAUAAAUUU